GCUUGCUUCAGCAGCGCAUAACUAAAAUUGGAACGAUGCAGAGAUUAGUGUGGCCCCUGCACAAGGAUGUCACGCAGACUCGUGAGGCGUUCUGUAUUUUC
ensembl:snRNA U6 U6 spliceosomal RNA